GAGCUUCCGUUGAAUGACGUGCUUGCACUGAUUUCAACAAUGAAGCGAGUGGCGAACUGGUGAGUAACACGUGGGGAAUCUGCCCAGAAGCAGGGGAUAACACUUGGAAACAGGUGCUAAUACCGUAUAACAACAAAAUCCGCAUGGAUUUUGUUUGAAAGGUGGCUUCGGCUAUCACUUCUGGAUGAUCCCGCGGCGUAUUAGUUAGUUGGUGAGGUAAAGGCCCACCAAGACGAUGAUACGUAGCCGACCUGAGAGGGUAAUCGGCCACAUUGGGACUGAGACACGGCCCAAACUCCUACGGGAGGCAGCAGUAGGGAAUCUUCCACAAUGGACGAAAGUCUGAUGGAGCAAUGCCGCGUGAGUGAAGAAGGGUUUCGGCUCGUAAAACUCUGUUGUUAAAGAAGAACACCUUUGAGAGUAACUGUUCAAGGGUUGACGGUAUUUAACCAGAAAGCCACGGCUAACUACGUGCCAGCAGCCGCGGUAAUACGUAGGUGGCAAGCGUUGUCCGGAUUUAUUGGGCGUAAAGCGAGCGCAGGCGGUUUUUUAAGUCUGAUGUGAAAGCCUUCGGCUUAACCGGAGAAGUGCAUCGGAAACUGGGAGACUUGAGUGCAGAAGAGGACAGUGGAACUCCAUGUGUAGCGGUGGAAUGCGUAGAUAUAUGGAAGAACACCAGUGGCGAAGGCGGCUGUCUAGUCUGUAACUGACGCUGAGGCUCGAAAGCAUGGGUAGCGAACAGGAUUAGAUACCCUGGUAGUCCAUGCCGUAAACGAUGAGUGCUAAGUGUUGGAGGGUUUCCGCCCUUCAGUGCUGCAGCUAACGCAUUAAGCACUCCGCCUGGGGAGUACGACCGCAAGGUUGAAACUCAAAGGAAUUGACGGCGGCCCGCACAAGCGGUGGAGCAUGUGGUUUAAUUCGAAGCUACGCGAAGAACCUUACCAGGUCUUGACAUCUUCUGCCCA
rnacentral:rRNA from 1 species